AGAGUUUGAUCAUGGCUCAGGACGAACGCUGGCGGCGUGCUUAACACAUGCAAGUCGAACGAUGAAGCCCAGCUUGCUGGGUGGAUUAGUGGCGAACGGGUGAGUAACACGUGGGUGAUCUGCCCUGCACUUCGGGAUAAGCCUGGGAAACUGGGUCUAAUACCGGAUAGGACCUCGGGAUGCAUGUUCCGGGGUGGAAAGGUUUUCCGGUGCAGGAUGGGCCCGCGGCCUAUCAGCUUGUUGGUGGGGUAACGGCCCACCAAGGCGACGACGGGUAGCCGGCCUGAGAGGGCGACCGGCCACACUGGGACUGAGACACGGCCCAGACUCCUACGGGAGGCAGCAGUGGGGAAUAUUGCACAAUGGGCGCAAGCCUGAUGCAGCGACGCCGCGUGAGGGAUGACGGCCUUCGGGUUGUAAACCUCUUUCAGUACCGACGAAGCGCGAGUGACGGUAGGUACAGAAGAAGCACCGGCCAACUACGUGCCAGCAGCCGCGGUAAUACGUAGGGUGCGAGCGUUGUCCGGAAUUACUGGGCGUAAAGAGCUCGUAGGCGGUUUGUCGCGUCGUCUGUGAAAACCCGCAGCUCAACUGCGGGCUUGCAGGCGAUACGGGCAGACCUGAGUACUGCAGGGGAGACUGGAAUUCCUGGUGUAGCGGUGAAAUGCGCAGAUAUCAGGAGGAACACCGGUGGCGAAGGCGGGUCUCUGGGCAGUAACUGACGCUGAGGAGCGAAAGCGUGGGUAGCGAACAGGAUUAGAUACCCUGGUAGUCCACGCCGUAAACGGUGGGCGCUAGGU
rnacentral:rRNA from 1 species